rnacentral:rRNA from 1 species
AGGGUUUGAUCAUGGCUCAGAACGUACGCUGGCGGCACGCCUAAUACAUGCAAGUCGAACGAAGUAGCAAUACUUAGUGGCAGACGGGUGAGUAACAUGUAGGUAUCUUCCCAUUGGUGAGGAAUAACACGAGGAAACUUGUGCUAAUACCUCAUAAGUCUUUACGGAGAAAGCUUUAUGCGCCGAUGGAUGAGCCUGCACUUGAUUAGUUUGUUGGUAGGGUAAUGGCCUACCAAGACAAUGAUCAAUAGCUGAUUUGAGAGGAUGAUCAGCCACAUUGGGACUGAGACACGGCCCAAACUCCUACGGGAGGCAGCAGUAGGGAAUCUUGCACAAUGGGGGAAACCCUGAUGCAGCGAUGCCGCGUGAGUGAAGAAGGCCUUUGGGUUGUAAAGCUCUUUCGUCGGGGAAGAAAAUGACUGUACCCGAAUAAGAAGGUCCGGCUAACUUCGUGCCAGCAGCCGCGGUAAUACGAAGGGACCUAGCGUAGUUCGGAAUUACUGGGCUUAAAGAGUUCGUAGGUGGUUAAAAAAGUUGGUGGUGAAAUCCCAGAGCUUAACUCUGGAACUGCCAUCAAAACUUUUUAGCUAGAGUAUGAUAGAGGAAAGCAGAAUUUCUAGUGUAGAGGUGAAAUUCGUAGAUAUUAGAAAGAAUACCAAUUGCGAAGGCAGCUUUCUGGAUCAUUACUGACACUGAGGAACGAAAGCAUGGGUAGCGAAGAGGAUUAGAUACCCUCGUAGUCCAUGCCGUAAACGAUGUGUGUUAGACGUUGGAAAUUUAUUUUCUGUGUCGCAGCGAAAGCAAUAAACACACCGCCUGGGGAGUACGACCGCAAGGUUAAAACUCAAUGAAUUGACGGGACCCGCACAAGUAGUGGAGCAUGUGGUUUAAUUCGAAGAUACGCGCAGAACCUUACCAACACUUGACAUGUUCGUCGCGACUUUAAGAGAUUAAAGUUUUCGGUUCGGCCGGACGAAACACAGGUGCUGCAUGGCUGUCGUCAGCUCGUGUCGUGAGAUGUUGGGUUAAGUCCCGCAACGAGCGCAACCCUCACUUUUAGUUGCCAUCAUUUAGUUGGGCACUCUGAAAGAACUGCCAGUGAUAAGCUGGAGGAAGGUGGGGAUGACGUCAAGUCCUCAUGGCCCUUACGUGUUGGGCUACACACGUGCUACAAUGGUAUCUACAACAGGAAGCAAGACUGCGAGGUCAAGCAAAUCCUUAAAAGAUACCUCAGUUCGGAUUGCACUCUGCAACUCGAGUGCAUGAAGCUGGAAUUACUAGUAAUCGUGGAUCAGCGUGCCACGGUGAAUGCGUUCCCGGGUCUUGUACACACCGCCCGUCACACCAUGGGAGUUGGUUCUACCUUAAGGCAAGGUUUAAAACCCUUGACCACGGUAUAGUCAGCGACUGGGGUGAAGUCGUAACAAGGUA